UACUGUUAAAAGGAAAACUUUCCAAGGC
rnacentral:piRNA from 1 species